AUCCAACUGGUUCAUGGACAGGUCUGUAGAGCACGAGACUCUUAAUCUCAGGGUCGUGGGGUUCGAGCCCCACAUUGGGCA